AGUGAACGCUGGCGGUAUGCCUAACACAUGCAAGUCGAACGGCAGCACAGUAAGAUCUUGCUCUUACUGUUGGCGAGUGGCGGACGAGUGACGAAUACAUCAGAAUCUACUUUUUCUUGGGGGAUAACGUAGAGACACUUACGCUAAUACCGCAUACUACCUACGGGUGAAAUCAAAGGAUCUUCGCACCUUUCGCGAUUGUAUGAGCCGAUGUCGGAUUAGCUAGUUGGCGGGGUAAAGGCCCACCAAGGCGACGAUCCGUAGCUGGUCUGAGAGGAUGAUCAGCCACACUGGAACUGAGACACGGUCCAGACUCCUACGGGAGGCAGCAGUGGGGAAUAUUGGACAAUGGGCGCAAGCCUGAUGCAGCCAUACCGCGUGGGUGAAGAAGGCCUUCGGGUUGUAAAGCCCUUUUGUUGGGAAAGAAAAGCAGCAGAUUAAUAUCCCGCUGUUCUGACAGUACCCAAAGAAUAAGCACCGGCUAACUUCGUG
rnacentral:rRNA from 1 species